UACGAAGGGGGCUAGCGUUGCUCGGAAUCACUGGGCGUAAAGGGCGCGUAGGCGGGCUGCCAAGUCCGUGGUGAAAUCCCCCGGCUCAACCGGGGAAGGGCCUCGGAUACUGGCGGCCUCGAGGGGGGUAGGGGCGUGCGGAACUGUGGGUGGAGCGGUGAAAUGCGUUGAUAUCCACAGGAACUCCGGUGGCGAAGGCGGCACGCUGGACCCCAUCUGACGCUGAGGCGCGAAAGCCAGGGGAGCGAACGGG
rnacentral:rRNA from 1 species